rnacentral:snRNA from 1 species
UGCAGUGCCAGCAUAUUACUAAAAUUGGAAACCAUAGAAAAUUAGCAUAGCCCUGGACAAAGAUGACAAGCAAUUUGAAGUGUUUUAAAAUUUUCUU